rnacentral:rRNA from 1 species
GAUGAACGCUGGCGGCGUGCCUAAUACAUGCAAGUCGAGCGAAUGGAUUAAGAGCUUGCUCUUAUGAAGUUAGCGGCGGACGGGUGAGUAACACGUGGGUAACCUGCCCAUAAGACUGGGAUAACUCCGGGAAACCGGGGCUAAUACCGGAUAUCAUUUUGAACCGCAUGGUUCGAAAUUGAAAGGCGGCUUCGGCUGUCACUUAUGGAUGGACCCGGGUCGCAUUAGCUAGUUGGUGAGGUAACGGAUCACCAAGGCAACGAUGCGUAGCCGACCUGAGAGGGUGGUAGGCCACACUGGGACUGAGACACGGCCCCGACUUCUACGGGCGGAAGCAGUAGUGAAUCUUCCGCAAUGGACGAAAGUCUGACGGAGCGACGCCGCGUGCGUGAUGAGGGCUUUCGGGUCGUAAAACUCUGUUGUUAGGGAAGAACAAGUGCUAGUUGAAUAAGCUGGCACCUUGCCGGUACCUAACCAGAAAGCCACGGAUAACUACUUGCCAGCCGCCGCGGUAA